rnacentral:misc_RNA from 1 species
AAGUCGUAACAAGGUCAUCGUAGGUGAACCUGCGGUGGGAUCAUUAAAUAAUCUCAACCUUUGGGGCUAUUUUGCUGUGGGUGUGGUUGUUUCUUUAGUGCUUUGGGAAUGUGUGCUUUCUGUUAUGGAUGGCGUGCUUCUUGGAGGACGAGAGAUGGCUAUUGCUUGCAGCAGAGCUCUGCUUGUGUGAAUCUUGUAUGUUGCCUGGAGAGGAUAUGUCAUGUAUCUAAUCUGGCAAUGUGAGAAUAGUUUUGGCGGGUGUAUUGUGAGAGUACAUAACAUGUGCUGUUAUAAUCCCCGCCAGCUGUUCUCUCUAACAUAAACACUAUCAAACAACCAACAAACAUAUAUCACGAGGACUAAACACCCUCAUCAAUUAAUUUACAACUAUCCGUGGUGGAUCACUUGGCUCUU